UACGGGAGGCAGCGGUGGGGAAUAUUGCACAAUGGGCGAAAGCCUGAUGCAGCUAUGCCGCGUGUAUGAAGAGGGCCUUAGGGUUGUAAAGUACUUUCAUCGGGGAGGAAAAAACAAAACUAAUAAUUUUAUUUCUUGACGUUACCCGAAAAAGAAGCACCGGCUAACUCCGUGCCAGCAGCCGCGGUAAUACGGAGGGUGCUAGCGUUAAUCAGAAUUACUGGGCGUAAAGAGCACGUAGGUGGUUUUUUUAAGUCAGAUGUGAAAUCCCUGGGCUUAACCUAGGAACUGCAUUUUGAAACUGAAAUACUAGAGUAUCGUAGAGGGAGGUAGAAUUCUAGGUGUAGCGGUGAAAUGCGUAGAUAUCUGGAGGAAUACCUGUGGCGAAAGCGGCCUCCUAAACGAAUACUGACACUGAGGGUGCGAAAGCGUGGGGAGCAAACAGGGAUUAGAUACC
rnacentral:rRNA from 1 species